rnacentral:rRNA from 1 species
GGCGGCGAGUGGCGAACGGGUGAGUAAUAUAUCGGAACGUACCCAAGAGUGGGGGAUAACGUAGCGAAAGUUACGCUAAUACCGCAUACGAUCUAAGGAUGAAAGCAGGGGAUCGCAAGACCUUGUGCUCCUGGAGCGGCCGAUAUCUGAUUAGCUAGUUGGUAGGGUAAAGGCCUACCAAGGCUACGAUCAGUAGCUGGUCUGAGAGGACGACCAGCCACACUGGUACUGAGACACGGACCAGACUCCUACGGGAGGCAGCAGUGAGGAAUAUUGGACAAUGGGCGCAAGCCUGAUCCAGCCAUGCCGCGUGCAGGAUGACGGUCCUAUGGAUUGUAAACUGCUUUUGUACAGGAAGAAACCCUUUCACGUGUGGAAGAUUGACGGUACUGUAAGAAUAAGGAUCGGCUAACUCCGUGCCAGCAGCCGCGGUAAUACGGAGGAUCCAAGCGUUAUCCGGAAUCAUUGGGUUUAAAGGGUCCGUAGGCGGUCAGAUAAGUCAGUGGUGAAAGCCCAUCGCUCAACGGUGGA